GACCUCACUCGGGUCCCGGCCUCUGUCCUCCCUCCACCCUAUGCAGCUCCUGCCGCUGCCCCCCCAGAGGAGGCUGAGGUUGAGGCCAUGCGCGCUGCUUCCCCACUGAUGCACAUCGAAGGCUUCCUCACAGCCCUCACCACUGCCAACCAGGAUGGCAGAGCCAUCCUGAGCCGCCAAGGCAGCCUCAGCCAGAGCAGCCUCAAAUUCUUGCUCCUGAAUCCAGCCGUGCAGUUUGCCCAGGUGAUGGAAGAAUGCCGGGCAGUGGUCAUUGUAGGGGGCACCAUGCAGCCGAAAGCAGGGAGAGGAGCAGUGGGGGAGAAGCAGGUCCUCAUUUCACACUCAGAGAUGGACCAUGGCGUGCGGCACGGCAGUGGCCUUUCUGGGGUUAAGGUUCACAGGUGUCUGACUUCCGGGAGCAGCUGCUGACCUGGGCUGGGACGCAAUC
rnacentral:lncRNA from 1 species